rnacentral:ncRNA from 1 species
UAGAUAGAGGCGCGGGUUUCAUCAGUACCCUCCGGCAAGGCCAGGCAGCCGCCGGAUGGGAAAGGGAAAACCGCCGAAGCCGCGAAAGUUUGCCUGAACUUUCGCCGCUGGGCCGCCGGAGAAUAUCCGCCGGACUGUCACAAGACUUUGUGAAGCGCUAUCA